AUGUUCGACUCGGGGGUUCUCGUGCCGUUCAAACUUCACUAUGAGGAGACGAAGGAGCUUUCCCCCGGCGACAUCGUCCACUCCGAGGUCGCCUACGCCGGGGGACACCGCUGGAGGAUUCGAUGCUACCCGCAGGGAAAGAAGAAGGCCGACAAGCAGGGCGAGUACAUCUCGAUCUUUCUCGAACUCAUGAGCAAGUGCAAAGGCGUCAAGGCCAUCUUCGAGGCUUUCGUGGUGGACAAGGACGCCGAGCCGUUUUCUUCCCAUGCAGAGCGGUGCGUGCAGGUUUACCCGCCGGAGGGAUUCGAUUCCUGGGGGUGGCCACAGUUCGCGAAGCGAAGCGAUCUCGAGUCUCAAUACGUGGUGAACGGGUGGGUCACGAUUGUAUGGGGAGUUGUAGUCGUGCGCGAUGACUCCAUAGCCGUGCCGUCCUCUGACAUAGAGAACCAUCUUGGCCGCCUCCUCGACUGCGGCGACGGUUCUGAUGUCUCCUUCGUCGUCGACGGCGAGACGUUUCCGGCGCACCGGGCCGUGCUCGCUGCCCGCUCGCCGGUCUUCAAGGCGGAGCUCUUCGGCUCUAUGGCGGAGUCCACGAUGUCGCGCGUCACAUUGGAAGACAUCGACCUCGCAACAUUUAAAGUUUUUCUUCGGUUCAUCUACACCGACGCCCUGCCCGGAGAUGACGAGCUGGAAGACUCGCUACUGAGAUGUAUGAGCGUCUGCUUGCCGUGGCCGACAGGUACGCCAUGGAUAGGUUAA
rnacentral:rRNA from 1 species